rnacentral:rRNA from 1 species
GCAAGUCGCACGGAGAACAUGAAUAGCUUGCUAAUUGUGUUCUUAGUGGCGCACGGGUGAGUAACACGUGAGUAACAUGCCUCAUAGAGGGGAAUAGCCCACCGAAAGGCGGAUUAAUACCCCAUGGUCCCGCAAGGGUAAAGGUGGCUUCGGCUGCCGCUAUGAGAUUGGCUCGCGUCCUAUCAGCUUGUUGGUGAGGUAACGGCUCACCAAGGCGACGACGGGUAGCUGGUCUGAGAGGACGAUC